rnacentral:misc_RNA from 1 species
UACAGAGACCUCAAGCGUUAUCCGGAUUUAUUGGGCGUAAAGGGUCCGCAGGCGGCCUGGUCAGUCAUUCGUCAAAUCUUCGGGCUCAACCCGGGGGCUGCGAGUGAUACUGCUAGGCUAGAGACUGGGAGAGGCAUACGGAAUUGCCGGUGUAGCGGUAAAAUGCGUUAAUAUCGGCAAGAACACCAAAGGCGAAGGCAGUAUGCUGGAACAGAUCUGACGCUCAGGGACGAAAGCGUGGGUAGCGAAAGGG